AUUGAACGCUGGCGGCAGGCCUAACACAUGCAAGUCGAACGAGUGGCGGACGGGUGAGUAAUGUCUGGGAAACUGCCUGAUGGAGGGGGAUAACUACUGGAAACGGUAGCUAAUACCGCAUACCAUCGGAUGUGCCCAGAUGGGAUUAGCUAGUUGGUGGGGUAACGGCUCACCUAGGCGACGAUCCCUAGCUGGUCUGAGAGGAUGACCAGCAACACGGGAACGGGAACACGGUCCGAACUCUGCCGGGUGGAAGCGUAGGGGAAUAGUGGACAAGGGGCGCAAUCCUGAUGCAGAAAUGCCGGGUGUAGGAAAAAGGCCUUCGGGUUGUAAAGUACUUUCAGCGGGGAGACGUUACCCGAAGAGGAAGCACCGGCUAACUCCGUGCCAGCAGCCGCGGUAAUAC
rnacentral:rRNA from 1 species